CGGGUGAGUAACACGUGAGUAACCUGCCCUUGACUCUGGGAUAAGCCUGGGAAACUGGGUCUAAUACCGGAUAUGACUCCUCAUCGCAUGGUGGGGGGUGGAAAGCUUUUGUGGUUUUGGAUGGACUCGCGGCCUAUCAGCUUGUUGGUGGGGUAAUGGCCUACCAAGGCGACGACGGGUAGCCGGCCUGAGAGGGUGACCGGCCACACUGGGACUGAGACACGGCCCAGACUCCUACGGGAGGCAGCAGUGGGGAAUAUUGCACAAUGGGCGAAAGCCUGAUGCAGCGACGCCGCGUGAGGGAUGACGGCCUUCGGGUUGUAAACCUCUUUCAGUAGGGAAGAAGCGAAAGUGACGGUACCUGCAGAAGAAGCGCCGGCUAACUACGUGCCAGCAGCCGCGGUAAUACGUAGGGCGCAAGCGUUAUCCGGAAUUAUUGGGCGUAAAGAGCUCGUAGGCGGUUUGUCGCGUCUGCUGUGAAAGACCGGGGCUCAACUCCGGUUCUGCAGUGGGUACGGGCAGACUAGAGUGCAGUAGGGGAGACUGGAAUUCCUGGUGUAGCGGUGAAAUGCGCAGAUAUCAGGAGGAACACCGAUGGCGAAGGCAGGUCUCUGGGCUGUAACUGACGCUGAGGAGCGAAAGCAUGGGGAGCGAACAGGAUUAGAUACCCUGGUAGUCCAUGCCGUAAACGUUGGGCACUAGGUGUGGGGGACAUUCCACGUUUUCCGCGCCGUAGCUAACGCAUUAAGUGCCCCGCCUGGGGAGUACGGCCGCAAGGCUAAAACUCAAAGGAAUUGACGGGGGCCCGCACAAGCGGCGGAGCAUGCGGAUUAAUUCGAUGCAACGCGAAGAACCUUACCAAGGCUUGACAUGAACCGGAAAGACCUGGAAACAGGUGCCCCGCUUGCGGUCGGUUUACAGGUGGUGCAUGGUUGUCGUCAGCUCGUGUCGUGAGAUGUUGGGUUAAGUCCCGCAACGAGCGCAACCCUCGUUCUAUGUUGCCAGCGGUUCGGCCGGGGACUCAUAGGAGACUGCCGGGGUCAACUCGGAGGAAGGUGGGGACGACGUCAAAUCAUCAUGCCCCUUAUGUCUUGGGCUUCACGCAUGCUACAAUGGCCGGUACAAAGGGUUGCGAUACUGUGAGGUGGAGCUAAUCCCAAAAAGCCGGUCUCAGUUCGGAUUGGGGUCUGCAACUCGACCCCAUGAAGUCGGAGUCGCUAGUA
rnacentral:rRNA from 1 species